AAUAUUGGACAAUGGGCGAAAGCCUGAUCCAGCCAUGCCGCGUGUGUGAAGAAGGUCUUCGGCUUGUAAAGCACUUUAAGUUGGGAGGAAGGGCAGUAGGCGACUACCUUGCUGUUUUGACGUUACUGCCUGAAUAAGCACCGGCUACUCCGUUGGCAGCAGCCGCGGUAAUACUGAGGGUGUAAGCGUUAAUCGGAAUUACUGGGUGUAAAGCGCGCGUAGGUGGUUUGUUAAGUAGGAAGUGAAAGACGUGGGCUAAACCUGGGAACUGCUUUCAAAACUGGCAAGCUAGAGUAUAGCAGAGGGUGGUGGAAUUUCCUGUGUAGCGGUGAAAUGCGUAGAUAUAGGAAGGAACACCAGUGGCGAAGGCGACUACCUGGACUGAUACUGACACUGAGGUGCGAAAGCGUGGGGAGCAAAC
rnacentral:rRNA from 1 species